rnacentral:rRNA from 1 species
UACGUAGGGUGAAAGCGUUGUCCGGAAUUAUUGGGCGUAAAGAGCUCGUAGGCGGUCUGUCGCGUCUGCUGUGAAAACUCGGGGCUUAACCCCGGGCCUGCAGUGGGUACGGGCAGACUAGAGUGCGGUAGGGGAGACUGGAAUUCCUGGUGUAGCGGUGAAAUGCGCAGAUAUCAGGAGGAACACCGGUGGCGAAGGCGGGUCUCUGGGCCGUAACUGACGCUGAGGAGCGAAAGCGUGGGGAGCGAACAGG